rnacentral:lncRNA from 1 species
ACAGCCUGCUGGUGAUGGCUCGCACCCGGCGGACUGUGAGAGCGUAUUUUCCCUCCUGGUGAGCUGAAACGAAGCAGAAGCUGCCCAACAGCAAGCUUUGAAGAUGAAUACCUGAAGUGCUGCAAGUCAGAUUAAAGCAUAGGCACCAGCAGUGCAUGCCAAGGCUCUGUUUGCAGAACCGUGAAGCAAUGCCAAGCCUCCUGCUUCCAAUUACACAAGCCUCAUACCUCCUGCUCCAGAGACUGCAGGCACAGAUUUGACCACCUUUCCUCACCAGCCAUUUCCGAGGGGGGGUCAGGAGAAGAGCGCUGCGGGUUCAGCCCAGCUUGUGCUGCUGCAGACAAGCUGGCGUGUCCUGGUCACCGGGGUAUGAGGUGA